rnacentral:rRNA from 1 species
CCUACGGGGGGCAGCAGUGGGGAAUAUUGGACAAUGGGGGGAACCCUGAUCCAGCCAUGCCGCGUGUGUGAAGAAGGCCCUCGGGUUGUAAAGCACUUUCAGUGAGGAAGAACGCCUGGUGGUUAAUACCCAUCAGGAAAGACAUCACUCACAGAAGAAGCACCGGCUAACUCCGUGCCAGCAGCCGCGGUAAUACGGAGGGUGCGAGCGUUAAUCGGAAUUACUGGGCGUAAAGCGCGCGUAGGUGGCUUGAUAAGCCGGUUGUGAAAGCCCCGGGCUCAACCUGGGAACGGCAUCCGGAACUGUCAAGCUAGAGUGCAGGAGAGGAAGGUAGAAUUCCCGGUGUAGCGGUGAAAUGCGUAGAGAUCGGGAGGAAUACCAGUGGCGAAGGCGGCCUUCUGGACUGACACUGACACUGAGGUGCGAAAGCGUGGGUAGCAAACAGGAUUAGAAACCCCUGUAGUC